GGCGUACUAAAAUCGAAUUAUGGUCUUGAACAGCCUGUUAUAAGCUUGGUAUUAACGUGGUAUUGUCCUCAUGGAAGCGUGUUUGGGUCGCAGUAAGAACAUGAUAGUCGGUGUAUAGUCGAUGGGAGAUCGUAUUGCAGUCUCCCCGACUAGAAUCGCGCUUUCUCUACGCUGUCGCUACGUUGGUACAGCGACCUUUACGAUCUUACAACGACAUUACUGCGUUCUCACUACGCUUCUACUACUCCCUGAUUUCGACACGACCGCACCACAAUUGUUUUGAACAUGUUCAAAGUUGACCACGCUCAUCACGAUCAUGAAGACCUCAACACGACCGUACUACGUCCAUGCCGUCCUCAUCAUGCUCCUCUUAGUCCCCAGUCACACUAGACCACGAUCGCACCACGUUCAACGUGAUCUUAAAUAAAUUCAGAUCGUGGUGUUGUAGCGGUAUGAGCGGCAUGGACAUGUAAGUGUCGUUAUUUUCACGAUGCUACUACGUCCUCAUUACGAUUCUACAACGAUCUCGCUACGAUUAUACCAGGUUCUCAUCACACUUUUCAUACGAUUAUCAUGACCUUAUUACGCUCAUCACGUUCUUACUACGAUUGCGACACAACCUUACCGCGCUUCUUUUGCGAUUCUAUCACGUUCUUGCUAUGAUUAUACUACGUUCAUACUACAAUAUUACUAUGCUCUCAGUAAUAACAUCAACAUCGUGUUCCAUAUAGAGGCAGAGGGAGCUCUGAUGGUAACGAAUCCUGAAUCAAAAGAGAUGUCGGGACAUCAAGAUCAAAGGACGAUGUUUAAGUGAACGAUAGUAGGGAUAAAACAGAUUUGUCAAGCAUGGUUGAGACGUUGGAGAAAAAGGACAAGAUGUCCAAAUACAUACAGACAAACAAAACCUGGAGAGCUUUUAUAUAUUUCCCGUAAAAACGACAAUGAGCAUGAUGGUCGUAGUAUGAACGUAGCCAGGUCGUAAUAAGCGCAUGAUUAGGAUGGCAUGCAUGGGCGUGCUAGAAUCGUACCGUGGUCUUGAACAAUGUUGUAUAAACGUAGUGGAAGCGUGGUUUGGUCGCGGUGAGAAUUCGAUAGUCGUAGAAAGGUCGUAGUAACGUC
rnacentral:lncRNA from 1 species